GGUCCACUUGCAAGUUUGCUGUUUGAGUACCUGCUGGCAGCAGGUAACUCACUGGCUAUAUAGCAAAUGCCCAUGUGUUCUUUUUGCCUAUGAAAAAAAAAAAUUGAUUAAUGAUAAGUUAACAAAGUAAUUGUAAAUGACCUUUUGUUUAACACAGAGAAUGAGCAUGCAGAGGGUCAUUCUGUAGAGUAAAUAUUACUAUGUAAGUCCAAUUUUUUUUUUAUAGACAGAUCUGAGAGAAUGCUUAGAUUUUAAUGGGUGGAAAACAAGGGAAAAAAUGGGCUAGGAUGCGAAGAAUUACAGAAUUGCAAGGAUUUAUUUAUUUACUUAUUUUUGCUUAUCAUCCGAAAUGUUCCACACAGAUGGUCAGCAUAAUAAUUCCCAUUUUUCAAAUGGAGACAAUGGGGCACAAAUAAGAGCCAACUACCUAAAACCACGCAGUAUGGUGAGUGGAAGUGGUGACUGAGAGCCAAGCUUUGCCACAGCAAUGGCCUCCUCUGUAAAUUCUCCUCAUCCCACUACAUCCCAGUAUCUGCUGUGUCUAGGCAGACGUCCAGUACUGCCAUGAAAGUUUUCCCCAGCUGGCUCUGGCAUCGUUCACCCCACAACCAGCACCACUGCAGCCCUGCUCCUGUGAGAGGCCUCUGAGGGCGCCCAUCUUGUUUCACCUCAGGUGAGCUGUUGAGAGGGAGGGAAAAGGAGCGUCAGGAAUCAGGAAGGCUGGGAAAUGGCCGAUGGCCAACAUGUCUCAGCAGAAGGCUUUGCAACCUCAUAUGGCAGCCUAGGCAGCAGCUGAGCUGGGUUUUUGUGUGUUGGUCCAGUUUUGCAGCCAAAACAGGCAUGGUGAAGGCGAGGGUGAAUGCAAGACCCUGAGGGGAGAGAGGCUGCUGGGAAACUGGUAGGGGACGGCAGAGCACAAGCCAAACCCCUGCCUGGUGGUGGUGGACCAGGCAGCAACUGCAAAGCCCUCAGCCAUGCACAGAGCAGCUCUAAGGAUAACUACAAAAUGUCAAGCUGCUGCCUGUUACCAGAAAGGAUGAGGCUGGGGUAAAAGGCAAGUCUUACAUAACUAUACAGUGCUUCUGAAGAGUCAGUAGAUCUGGUAUUGUAUGAAAUCUACCGUUCUGAAAAUGCUUCUGUAAAAUAUAUAUCUGA
ensembl:lncRNA